UACGGAGGGUGCAAGCGUUAAUCGGAAUUACUGGGCGUAAAGCGCACGUAGGUGGUUUGUUAAGCCAGCUGUGAAAUCCCCGGGCUCAACCUGGGCACUGCAGUUGGAACUGGCAAGCUAGAGUAGGGUAGAGGGGUGUGGAAUUCCCGGUGUAGCGGUGAAAUGUGUAGAGAUCGGGAGGAACACCGGUGGCGAAGGCGGGUCUCUGGGCAAUUCCUGACGCUGAGGCGCGAAAGCGUGGGGAGCAAACGGG
rnacentral:rRNA from 1 species